AUUGAACGCUGGCGGCAUGCCUUACACAUGCAAGUCGAACGGCAGCACGGGUGCUUGCACCUGGUGGCGAGUGGCGAACGGGUGAGUAAUACAUCGGAACGUACCUUAUCGUGGGGGAUAACGCAGCGAAAGCUGUGCUAAUACCGCAUCCGCCCUGAGGGGGAAAGCGGGGGAUCGCAAGACCUCGCGCGAUUAGAGCGGCCGAUGCCUGAUUAGCUUGUUGGUGGGGUAAAAGCCCACCAAGGCGACGAUCAGUAGCUGGUCUGAGAGGACGAUCAGCCACACGGGGACUGAGACACGGCCCAGACUCCUACGGGAGGCAGCAGUGGGGAAUUUUGGACAAGGGGGGCAACCCUGAUCCAGCAAUGCCGCGUGAGUGAAGAAGGCCUUCGGGUUGUAAAGCUCUUUUGUCAGGGAAGAAACACCGGCUCUAACACAGUCCGGGAAUGACGGUACCUGAAGAAUAAGCACCGGCUAACUACGUGCCAGCCGCCGCGGUAA
rnacentral:rRNA from 1 species